GUUUCUUCUUCAUCUUCUUCUUUUGUUUUUGGGCUAAUGCCUCCUAUGUGGCUACCACAAAAUAAAAGGCCAUAGGUAAAGUCACAUAUGGAUCCUUAACAUCAUCCAUACGUCCCAGCAGGAGCAUGAUCACGGUGCCCUACUCCUUUGCAAGCAUGUCAACUUUAUCUCCCUAAACCCCUCCAAAUGAGAAAUUAUAUCCUACAUCAACUACAACACCAUACGGUGGUGCACCACACCAA
rnacentral:lncRNA from 1 species